GUAAGUCGUGACUCCUCCUUUUAUAUUAAAAAACAUAAUGUUACAAGGGCUGGCCCAUUAACUUAAGCCCUUGGCCCAAUAUUACAACAAGUUUAAAUUAAGUUCAACUCAAGACUAAAUUGAUCAACCAAUUAAGUUAAUCACUCUAAAUUUAUCCUGGUCUAGACAUCAGGGCUGGAGCUACAACAUGAAGAUCUCAUUCCCUUAGUCGACUUCAAUUCGUUCAUACCUGCAAUAUCAACAACUAAUUUUAACACUCCCCCUCAAGUUGGAGAGUAUGGAUCUAGGACAUCCAACUUGACUAGAAACUUUGAUAUUUCUUUUUCUCCCAGUGGCUUCGUUAGUAGAUCUGCUGGUUGAUUGAUUGUUCCAAUGAAGGCUAAACGCAUUGAUCCUGACUAUAUCUUUUCUCUAACGAAAUGACAGUCAAUCUCUAUGUGUUUAGUCCUCUCAUGGAAUAUUGGAUUAUUCGCGAUAUGUAUAGCUGAAACAUUAUCACAAUGUAGUAUUGCUCCUUUUGAGGACUUCAUCUUAAAUUCAUGCAACAGAUAUUGAAUAAAUGUUACCUCAGCCGUUGCAUGAGCCAUUGAUCUGUAUUCUGCCUCUGCAGAUGAUCUCGACACCACUGGUUGUUUUUUCGAUUUCCACGAAAUCAAUGAUGUUCCUAAUGAAACACAGUACCCUGUUAUCGACCUUCUGGUCUUAGGACACGCUGCCCAAUCUGCAUCACAAUGUGCAAUUAUCUCAAUCCUAUUAUCAUGUCUGUACAUUAAGCCUCUUCCAGGUGUGCCUUUCAAGUAUCUGAGUACCUUCAGCGCUGCUUCCAUAUGCACUUGUCUUGGCUCUUGCAUAUAUUGACUUAAAUUCGUCACUGCAUGAGUUAUGUCAACUCUAAUGAUCAACAAAUAAAUUAGCUUACCGACAAGCCUUCUGUAUGGUGUCGGAUCCUUCAAUAUCAUGGAGUCAUUUGCUUCUGCAAGUGAAGUUCUAUCCAUUGGUAUUGUAGAUGGUUUGCAUCCCAAUAAUCCAUAAUCUUUAACUGUGUCUAAUACAUAUUUUCUCUGAUUUAUAUGUAUUCCUUGUGGCAUAUACAAUAAUUCCAGACCAAGGAAGAACCUCAAUUUCCCUAGAUCCUUUAUAUGGAAAGUCUGUUGCAACCUUCCUUUGAGCCCUUUUAUCAUUUGAUCAUUAUUUCCUGUGAUGAUUAUAUCGUCUACAUAUACCAGUAGAUAUGUCAUCUUAUCAUCUACUGUAUGUGUGAACAAUGAAUAAUCCACUAAUGAUUGAACAAAUCCUAUAUCAAUCAGUUUGGUUCUUAAUUUAGCAAACCAGUUGCGCGAUGCCUGUUUCAGCCCAUAUAUGGACCUUUUUAACUUGCAUACAUGGGUAUCAUUUUCCCCAAGCAUUCCUUGGGGUGGCUUCAUGUAAAUUUCUUCCUCAAGAUCCCCUUGCAAAAAGGCAUUGUGCACAUCCAUCUGAUGUAACUCCCACCUUUUUGUGGAUGCUAUUGCUAUCAUUGUUUUAACAGUGACUAGUUUUGCCACUGGUGCAAAUGUUUCGUUGUAAUCUAUACCUUCAAUUUGAGAAAAUCCUCUAGCUACCAAUCGUGCUUUGUAUCUCUCUAUACUUCCAUCACUUUUGUAUUUGAUUUUAUAGACCCAUUUUGAUCCUAUAGGUUUUCGAUUUUGUGGUAAUCGUAUCAAAUCCCACGUGUUAUUUUUAUUUAAAGCAUCCAAUUCUUCUCUCAUGGCCUUUUUCCAUCUAUCAUGAAUUAUUGCUUGUCUGUAAUUUAUUGGCUCGGAGUCACUCUGGACCCUCUUUACAUACUGCUGAUAUUCAUUUGUGAAUUUCCCAUAAUUGAUUUUCUUCUGUAUUGGAUGUGCUGUACUGCAUCCAUUUGUUACUGAGGAACAUAUGUAAUCUUUGUACUUGGGGUGAGGCCCACAUUUUCUUCUUGCUCCUCUUGGUUCUUGAAUGUUUUCUUCAUCAUUCGUUUCUUGACUUCCAUUUGUGUCAGAAUUUAGUAAUUCAAACUUGUUUUCACAAUUUAUUUCAAUUCCUGCAUGUUUUUCAAUUGUUUGUUCACUUGGAUCUAUUGUAUAAACAAGUGAAGUUUUUGGAUUUGUCUCCUCAUAUCUGUGUUCAAUUUGGAUUUCUGAAUUUGAACUUUCAUUAAUUAUUAUGUUCAAUUUCUGAAUUUGAAUUUUCAUCAUUCUCCCCCAAAAAUCUGAAAUUGUUAUCAUCAUUUGCACCAAUAUUUAUUAUUUUAUUAUUUUUGUGUGCAAAAACAUCAUUUUUACCGUACUCAAUAUCAUCUUCAAAAUUGUUCUUAAAAGGUGUCAAAUAUUCACCCAUUGAUGACUCUUUAUUAAAAUUAUGAAAUGGAAAUUCAUUUUCAAAAAAUUUCACAUUUCUUGUGAUUAUGAAUUUGUUUGUCUCCAUAUCAUAUAUCAUAUAUCCUUUUGUGUUGGGUGGAUAACCCACAAAUACUCCUUCAUUUGAUCUUUGGUCAAAUUUGUCGAUUUGAGUAUUAUUGUAAUAGUAUGUCUUGCAUCCGAAGACUCUUAUAUUAUCAUAUGAAGGUAUUUUCCCAUGCAAUUUUUCAUAUGGUGAUUUAUUUCCUAAUGUCCUGGAUGGCAAUCUAUUUAUAAUAUAAACUGCACUCAUAAUGCAAUAUCCCCAAAAUUCAAUAGGAAUUUUGGAUUGGAACCUAAUGGCUCUGGCAACUUGCAAUAAGUGUUGGUGUUUGUGUUCUGCCACCCCAUUUUGUUGGGGUGUGUAUGGACAAGUGAAUUGAUGAACUAUUCCUUUUGAAGAUAAUGUAGUUCUUAAUUUUUCAUUCACAAAUUCUUUUCCAUUAUCCGUUCUUACUAUUUUAGGUGUAACAUUAAAUUGAUUAAUCACAUAUUGUAAGAAAUUUAAUAUGAUGCUUGUUGUUUCUGAUUUUUGAAUCAUGAGGAACACCCAUGUGUUCCUUGAAAAUUCAUCUACUAUGGUCAAGAAAAAUCUUUGGCCAUUUAACGUGGGGAUGGAGAAAGGUCCCCAAACAUCCAUAUGAAGAUUAUCUAAUGCAUGCAUUGCUGGAUUUAAAUUAGUACUAAAUGGCAGUUUUUUUUGUUUAGCCAUACAACAAAAAACACAAUUUGAAAUAUUUGAUAAAGUUUUGUAACUAGAGUUACUCAAAAAACUAAGGAGUCUUUCUUUAGGUGCAUGUCCCAUUCUGCUAUGCCAAACAUCCAAUGUUUCCACUGAGUUUGCCAUAGCGCAAUCCUGCAAAAAAACAUAUACACCACUCCUUUCUUCACCCUGCCCAAUCAGUAUUCUCGAAUUCUUUUCCUGGAUUAGACAGCAUUUAUCAUUAAAAAUUAAUUCAUAAUUCCUAUCUUUAAUUAAUUGACCUACUGAAAUAAGAUUUACUCUAAAAUCCUGCACAUAAUAAACAUUUUUAAGUGUGAAUUUAUCAUUAAUUAUGACACUACCUAUUUGAUUUAUUUCUUUUAACAUACCAUUUGGCAUUCUUGCCCUUAUUGACCUAUUGGUCAAUCUCAAGGAAACAAAGAGUUUCCUGUUUCCUGACAUGUGAGCAGAAGCUCCACUGUCAAGUAACCAUUCAGAUCCAUAAUUUAUUGUAUAAUUUUUACUAUAAUUGAUAGUAUUGAAGCAUGCAAUACCUGCCGCAGAAGGUUUACCAAUCAUUUCUUGGAGCACUUUCAACUGUUCUGCCGUGAAGCCAUUGUUAUUUGCCGUUGAAGUUGUUGGUCCAUCAGUUACUUGCACUGAAUUCACCACAGCUUUUCCCUUUUCCUGAUUUGCAUUCUUGCUAUUCUUCGGAAAUCCCACAAGUUUGUAGCACACAUCCUUAGUGUGCCCAUGUCUUUCACAAUGCUCGCACCACAAGUCAGUGUUUAGCUUCUUUCCAUUCCUUCCAUAAUCAGAAUAGGGCCUAUUUUGUGUUCUUCCAUAAGAUUUGUUGAAUUUCUUCACACCAUCAGUCUGAGUAUAACAUGCAUUGACCUCCAUUGCCUUACGCUUGUGAAAGCUUCUAUGCUUUUCAUCUUGUUGGACCAACGAGAAGAUUUUGUUCAGACUUGGAAGUUCUUCAUUUGAAGACAAAAUCUGUCCCCUAAUCGGCAUAAAACCCUUACUGAGCCCCAACAGAAAUUGUAAAACCCUGUCCUCAGCUUCCAGUUCGGAGAACUGUUUCAAAACGUCGCAUGUACACUUACCACACACACAUACCGGCUUCUUUAUGCAUGAAUCGAGUUGAUCCCAAAGGCUUUUUAAUUUCUGAAAAUUAACACAAACGUUGUCCUCACCUUGCGACAUAAUGCUUAUGUCGUAUUUCAUCUGGAAAAUAUGUGGCUUGUUGGCUAUUUUAUAUCGAUCUUCUAAAUCCUUCCAAGCCACAGCAGCAGCGUCUGUGUAGAGUAGAGUGGUGGCUAUCUCCGGUUCCACAGCGUUAAAAAGCCAAGAUAGAACUAACCCAUUGCAUGUCUCCCACGCUUCACGAUCCUUGGAGUCGACUGGUGGCUUGACGAUGUCGCCGGUGGCAAACCCCAACUUUUGUCUUGACACGAGCGCAACCUUCAUCGCACACUGCCAUUGGUAGAAGUUUGUCUCACCGAUGAGUUUCUUAGUCACCAGACAUGACCCUGGAGCAUCGGAGGCGUGAACGUAGAAGAUACUCUUCCUGUCUUGAUUUGGAGACAUGAAAUCGUAACCAGAGUUCGCCCUCUUUUCAGAAGCAACAACAUCCUUUCCUUCAUCAGACAUUGUGUGCUCAGUUCGAGUAGAAACGUAUUUGCUCUGAUACCAUGUAAGAAACCCUAGCAGGGUUUAUGAGAACGAGAGGGAAAGACUUGGGAAGAAGAUGAAGCGUUGGAAGAAGAAGAAGAAAAAGAAUUAAAAAAGAGGAAGUGAGGAGUCGUAAGUCGUGACUCCUCAUUUUAUAUUAAAAAACAUAAUGUUACAAGGACUGACCCAUUAACUUAAGCCCUUGGCCCAAUAUUACAACAAGUUUAAAUUAAGUUCAACUCAAGACUAAAUUGAUCAACCAAUUAAGUUAAUCACUCUAAAUUUAUCCUGGUCUAGACAUCAGGGCUGGAGCUACAAAUGAAGAUCUCAUUCCCUUAGUCGACUUCAAUUCGUUCAUACCUGCAAUAUCAACAACUAAUUUUA
rnacentral:lncRNA from 1 species